ACUGAGCAUUAUUUAAAUGUUGAUGUCCAUUAGGAUUUCACCGAAGUCACCGAAUGUUAUCAAACGGGUGAACCAAAUAGCGAGGAAGGCAAAUGGCACCUUGACCUUCAUUUCAAGGGAAAAACAUUUUACUAUAAUUAUAUUCUGGGAGAAUAGCACCUCAUAUGAGCCAACGGUAUGAACAUUGAAUUCUCCAUUUAUCAAGUGAUAACCCCUCUAACCCUCCCACUUUUUCUCAUCCCCACCUUUCUCCACGCAGCUACCCUUCCAGUCACUGCUCCUUUCCAUCCUACACUCAUUUCCCAUCCCCAAGUUCCCCACUUCCCGUUUAUUCCCCUCCCACUCCCGUGGAUAGAUAUUCUACCCAUAUUCCUUCCUAUGGCUUUACAUUUCACUCAUCCUCUUCUCCUUAUGUGUUUUCCUUUUUACCUCAUACCUAAGCAUUCAUGACCUAGUCCUCCCCUCUGCCAAUCAACCUGCUUAUCUCUCUCCAUCUAUCACUUGCUAGACUUUGUCACUAUUUUCCAGCUUUCUUCCCCCUAGUCCAAUCAGUCUGAAGAAAGCUCCUGACCCAUAAGAUCAUCUGUCCAUUCCCUCCACAUUGUGCCUGUCUCACUGAGUUCCUCCAGCACUUUGUGUUUUUCCUCAAGAUUCUAGCAUCUGUAGUUUCUUGUAUUUCAUCCCUCCUCAGAUCUUCUCUCUGCCUCUGAGCUCUAACCCUUAGCUCUAAGCAACAUACUGGGUAUAAAUUUGUUUUCUUGGUCUGCCUGCAAUGGCCAGACUGUCAGAUUGGGAGAGAUUGCAUAGUUUAUUAGAAUAAAACAUGUAUAUUAAUAUUAGAGAGCUCAACAGGGUGAAUAUGUGCAGAAUAGAAACAUAGAAAAUAGGUGCAGGAGUAGGCCAUUCGGCCCUUCGAGCCUGCACCGCCAUUUGAUAUGAUCAUGGCUGAUCAUCCAACUCAGUAUCCCAUCCCUGCCUUCUCUCCAUACCCCCUGAUCCCUUUAGCCACAAGGGCCACAUCUAACUCCCUCUCAAAUAUAGCCAAUGAACUGGCCUCAACUACCUUCUGUGGCAGUGAAUUCCACAGAUUCACCACUCUAUGUGUAAAAAAUGAUUUCCUCAUCUCGGUCCUAAAAGUCUACCCUCUUAUCCUUAAACUGUGACCCCUAGUUCUGGACUUCCCCAACAUCGGGAAUAAUCUUCCUGCAUCUAGCCUGUCCAACCCCUUAAGAAUGGUGUAAGUUUCUAUAAGAUCCCCCUUCAGUCUUCUGAAUUCCAACGUGUACAAGCCGAAUAUUUGCAACUUGGCUGUGGAGUCUAGAGCAAGGUAUAAAUGUGUGUAGGCCAUUUAGCAGUGAAAUCUGGGAACAUUUCCUAACUGGAAUUCCCCAACAAAGAUGGCUGUCAAGGCUCAGUUCUUGAUUUUGUUUGAAACUGAGAUUGUUUUGAUUAUAGAAAUUAAGGUAAUUGGGGAAAUGGCAGGAAUAUUAUGUUUGAGGUUGAACGAAUUGAAGGAACGGAAAUGGCUAUUCUUGCUCCUAUUUCUUCGUUGUCCAAAGCAUGAAUCAAAACAAUUAGGACUUACAAUCACUGUUUAAAAUGCUACCAAAAGUAUUUAAAACACACCUAACUUAAAAUAUAUUUAAAUCCGAGCCAGUGGGAAAUGUUGCAUUUGGGAGGUUAAAUGCAAGGGGAAAAAUAUACAUUUAAUGGCAUGAUUCAGAGGGAUUUUCGGGUCCAAGACAAAGUUCCCUGAAAGUGGCAACACAAAGAGAUACGACAAGUAGUAACACAAGACAUAUGAUAUGCUGGCCUUCAAUGGACGAGGUAUUAAGUCAGGAAAUCGUGAUGCAGCUUUAUGGGACUAUGGUUAGGCCACAUUUGGUGUAUUGCCUGAAGUUCUGGUCACCCCAUUGUAGGAAAGAUGUGGAAGCUUUGCAGAGAGUGCAGCUAAGGUUUACUAGAUUGAUACUUGGGUUAGGGGCUAUUGGAUGCAUGCAGAGGGACACAUUUGUUUUUUUUUUCCCUUUGAAUGCCAGAGGUUGCAGGGAGACUAGAUAGCAGUACACAAAAUUAUGAGAGGCAUGGAUGGGGUAGAGUCAAACCUUUUUUCCAGGAUGGUAAAAUCAAAUGCUAGAGGGCAUAUCUUUAAGGUGAGAAUGGUUACGUUUAAAAUUGAUGUGCGGGGUAAUUUCUUUUUACACAGAGUGUGAUGAAUGCACGGACAUUGUGGGCGCAAGGGCCUGUUCCUGUCUUGUACGUUCUGUGUUGGAACUGAGGAUCAUCUAAUGAAAUAUGAAGCAAUUAACGCCACUUUUGCAAGAAGGAACUGCGGAUGCUGGUUUAAACCGAAGAUAGACAUAAAAAGCCGGAGUAACUCAGCGGAUCAGACGGCAUCUCUGGAGAAAAGGAAUAGGAAAGAGCUGCAGAUGCUGGUUUAAAUCGAAGGUAGACACAAAGUGGUGGAGUAACUCAGUGGGACAGGCAACAUCUCCGGAGAGAAGGAAUGGGUGAUGUUUUGGGUCGAGACCCUUCCUGGCCAGCAGAACGGUCCGUGAUACUCCACGUGAAGCCUGCUAAAAUGUUGUGCUGUUGCAACGUGACACCCCAACUCUUAUACUCAAUAGCCCAGACUAUUAAGCUACAAAAUCUCACCUGCAACCAAACCUGACGAUAUUGUGGCAACAACUGGAGUCUUCGUCUUAGAAUUGAUGCGGGCUAAAACUUUGAAAAGCAACCCAUCUUCAGCCAUAGCAUAGAUUACGCGAGGCAUGGGGAAAAUGGAACCAAGCAGACUGAAUGAAGAGGAAAGACAUGCACAAUGCUGCAAGUCAGAGUCACACCAGAGGCCCGGGAACCGUUGGAGCGAGUGGAGGAGGGUCAGGGCUGUUUUCCAUGACCACAUUUCACAGGAUGCAGUGCCAUAAGAAGAAUGUAGUUGUGCUGGAGAAAAUGCAAAGGAAAUUCACUGGAAUGGUGCCUGGAUUGGAGGGCUUUUGUUAUGAGGAUUGAAUAGACUGGGCUUGUUUACCCUGGGGUGAAUGAGCCAGAGGAAUACCCUGUUAGUUGUAUAUUAAAUAAAAUGAGGCAUGGAUAGGGUAAAUAGUCUUCUCAUAGUAAGGAUAUCAAAAACAAGAUGAAAGCUUUUGGGGGAUUGAGGGGAAAAAUCUAUUCAUACAGUGUUUGAUAUCUGAAAUGUGCUACCAGAGGAGGUGGUGGUAUUAGACGCAAUAACAAUGUUUAAGAGCCAGUGGUUAAGUCCAGCUUCUUUCACUUAAGGAAGCUGGCGAAGGUGAAGCCCAUUCUCGAGCGGCAGCAUUUUGAGACAGUAAUCCAUGCCUUUAUUACAUCUAGGCUGGAUUACUGUAACGCGCUCUAUUUUGGAGUUGCUCGUUCUUCACUGGCUCGUCUCCAGUUGGUUCAGAAUGCUGCUGCUCGCCUUUUAACUGGGACUCGAAAGAGGGAGCACAUAUCGCCAAUUCUGGCCUCCCUCCACUGGCUCCCGGUGCACUUUCGAGUUCAUUUUAAGAUACUGUUAUUUGUUUUUAAAUCUCUGAAUGGGCUCGCCCCGCCUUACCUCUCUGAGCUGCUCCACCCAUACGCUCCUGCCCGGUCCCUCAGGUCAGCUGGUCAGCUGCUCCUGGAGGUACCGAGGUCUAAUCGGAGGCUCAGAGGGGAUAGAGCCUUCUCUGUUGCUGCUCCAGCGCUCUGGAACACCCUGCCGUUGCACAUCAGACAGGCCCCCUCA